rnacentral:rRNA from 1 species
CUUGUAGGCGGUCCGUUAAGUCUGGUGUGAAAUCUCCCGGCUCAACUGGGAGGGGUCAUCGGAUACUGGCGGACUUGAGGUAGGUAGAGGAAAGCAGAAUUCCUGGUGUAGCGGUGAAAUGCGUAGAUAUCAGGAGGAAUACCAGUGGCGAAGGCGGCUUUCUGGGCCUAUCCUGACGCUGAGGAGCGAAAGCGUGGGGAGCAAACC